AUGAUAGGUCUAUUUUGGAACUGUAGGGGGGCAGGGAAAAAAGGGAUGAAAACCUGUCUUUCCCAUAUGAUUAAGGACCAUUCCCUUGACUUUAUGUGUCUGCAAGAAACGCUUAAGAAGAAUUUUUUGGACAGUUAUUUUAGGAAGCUCGAUCCAUACAACUUGUUUGAGUGGGAAUGGAUCCCCUCAAUUGGUAAGGCUGGAGGCAUUCUGUGUGGGGUUAGGAAGGAGAAGUUUGAGGUAGUUGCUUGGAGAAAAGGCAGGUUCUAUGAUAUUAAUAUGAAGAAGAUUUGGACUCUUUGCAGUGUUUAUGGAGCAGCCCAUGAGGGGGAUAAAAAUGAUUUCCUUAGUGAAUUGGCUGAUUUCUGCUGCCAUAUUCAAACACCUUUGUUGAUUGGGGGAGAUUUCAAUAUCCUCAGACACGGUGGAGAGAAGAAUAAAAGAUGGCGUCGAACAGCAUAUUCUAACCUGUUCAAUUCAAUCAUCAACACUAUGUGUUUGAGUGAGAUUUAUAUGAGUGGGGGGACUUACACUUGGUCUAAUAACCAAGCUCAUCCUACCCUGGAGAAAUUGGAUCGUGUUCUUAUGAGUAAUGAAUGGGAGGAGAUGUUUCCUAUGGUUAAUAUGAAGAAACUCGUUCGGGAGGUGUCUGAUCACAAUGCUCUCUUAUUGUACUCUGAUAAUCAUGUUAUCAGAGCCCCACAAAAAAGAGAGUUCCGAUUCGAAAUGAGCUAG
rnacentral:rRNA from 1 species